AUUGAACGCUGGCGGCAGGCCUAACACAUGCAAGUCGAGCGGAGCGGCGGACGGGUGAGUAAUGCCUAGGAAUCUGCCUGGUAGUGGGGGAUAACGUCCGGAAACGGGCGCUAAUACCGCAUACUAUCAGAUGAGCCUAGGUGGGAUCAGCUGGUGGGUGGGGUAAAGGCCUACCAAGGCGACGACCCGUAACUGGUAUGAGAGGAUGAUCAGUCACAUGGGACAUGAGACACGGCCCAGACUCCUAGGGGAGGCAGCAGUGGGGAAUAUUGGACAGUGGGCGAAAGCCUGACCCAUCAAUGCCCAGUGUGUGAAGAAGGUCUUCGGAUUGUAAAGCACUUUAAGUUGGGAGGCGGUACCAACAGAAUAAGCACCGGCUAACUUCGUGCCAGCAGCCGCGGUAAUUC
rnacentral:rRNA from 1 species